UAUUAGCCAGUCUCCUCCCUGGGUCUGGGAUGUUAAUCAAUAGCUCAGCAUGGCAGGGGCGGGGUUUUCCCAGGGCUAUUUUAAAUGAGGCGGGGUUAUGCAAAUUACGCCCUUGCAGGGACUCUCUUUCCCGGUUGUUUCCACCCGCCCCUGACCCUGCGGCUCGCAGAGAAGCUCUGUCCGCGCAGGGAGCAGCUCGUGCCCGUCCCCAGCGCGAGGACGGGCCGCAGACGCGCAGAGACGAUGCUGUGGUGGCUGCAUUUUGCUUUCAUCGCAGCAGCGUCCAAAGGGGCCCAGGGCCAGGUGCGGCUGGUGGAGUCCGGGGGCGGGGCUGCGAACACAGGCGGCUCCAGGCGGCUCUCCUGCACCGGCUCCGGAUUCAUUUUCAGCAGCUACACCAUGUUCUGGUACCGGCAGAGCCCCGGGACAGGCCUGGAAUGGGUCUCCUGGAUCAGCGGCACUGGCGGCAGCACAGAUUACACUAACGCAGUGAAAGGGCGAUUCACCGUCACCAGAGACAACACCAAGAACCAGCUGUAUCUGCAAAUGAGCCGCCUGGGACCCGAGGACACCGCCCGCUAUUUCUGCGCUGCUAGAGACACGGUGACGCGAAGCCAGGCUGAGCGCUGACAAAAACUCGCCGCGUUCAGCUCAGGGGAUUCGGCAUCGUCCCGUGACCAGCAUCACCCUCUGAACUCCGGCGUCCCUCACCCAGAACUCAGCCUGCUGCUGAGCCACCCACUCACUGCAGCUCCUUAGCGGCGUCCUUGUGCGUUCUCGGGGGGCGAUGGGGGGCAGGGUGUGUGUCUGUGCACGGAGGGGCAGGAGCUUUUCUCAGAGCACAGGGCAGGGAUAUAAACACUGACACCCGGGGGUGAGAGCAGAGAACUGGCCUGAACUCUGCUGGGUUCACUAGCAAACCUGCGGAUUUCUCCCAAGCCGGGCUGACCCAGGAAUUCUCUCACCGCGCACCGUGAGAGAACGUGUCUGUGCCUCCCUGGCACGUGCGUGGAAGGGCUGUUCGGCCGGCUACACGUUCAAAGAAAAAGGGCUCCAGAUUUCUGUACACAACUCGUUGCGCGGCGGGGAGUCUGCUCCAGGAGGGGGCCUGUCCAGAUGUUACCCGUCGUGCAACCCAGGCUGGUUCCGACUUGAAUUACGUUUACACCAAGGACCCAGUGGGAGCGCUCGCUGGUCACUGAGGGCAGAACUGACAAACCCAGAGCGGUAAUAACGAGCCUGAUUGAAAACACAAGCACCGCCACACGAGAGACUCGUUUCUGCGGCCGGGAAAUUAUCCCUGGCUUUCCACACUGAGCCUCCGCAGGGUAAAUGUAUCUGGUAACGAUGAGCGGCGCCACAAAGGCGAGGGUCCUGCUGCACCCGCAGGGCUUGGUCUGCCCUGAAAGAAGGGAGCAAAUGCAAAUGAAGUAACAACGUUUCCUGUCACCCCCCCGCUCUGUCCCUCACCCUGCAGGGAACAAAAGCUGCAGCCCCACGUGUCUGCACUGAACAAGUCCCACUGGGGAUCCCCCCCCCAGGCUAAUCAGAAGAAGAUGCUCCUCUGGCUACAUUUACUUUAAUGGCAGCACUUCCCCAAGGUGAUUCUGGCAUGGAAAGGUCGGGGGGACUCAGCGUUACUAUGUACAAGGCUAAGGUCGUUCCCU